CAACUCUCAGCAACGGAUGUCUUGGCUCUCGGAACGAUGAAGAACGCAGCGAAAUGCGAUACGUAAUGCGAAUUGCAGAAUUCCGUGAAUCAUCGAGUCUUUGAACGCAAAUUGCGCCCGCGACUUCGGUCAAGGGCACGUCUGCCUGAGCGUCG
rnacentral:rRNA from 1 species